rnacentral:rRNA from 1 species
ACGAACGCUGGCGGCGUGCUUAACCCCUGCCAGUCGCACGGAAAGGCCUCUUUCGGGGGGUACUCGAGUGGCGAACGGGUGAGUAACACGUGAGUAACCUGCCCUUGACUUUGGGAUAACUUCAGGAAACUGGGGCUAAUACCGGAUAGGAGCUCCUGCUGCAUGGUGGGGGUUGGAAAGUUUCGGCGGUUGGGGAUGGACUCGCGGCUUAUCAGCUUGUUGGUGGGGUAGUGGCUUACCAAGGCUUUGACGGGUAGCCGGCCUGAGAGGGUGACCGGCCACAUUGGGACUGAGAUACGGCCCAGACUCCUACGGGAGGCAGCAGUGGGGAAUAUUGCACAAUGGGUGGAAGCCUGAUGCAGCAACGCCGUGUGCGGGAUGACGGCCUUCGGGUUGUAAACCGCUUUCGCUCAUGACGAAGCUUUGUGUGACGGUAGUGGGUAAAGAAGCACCGGCUAACUACGUG